CCUCCCCCUUGCUCAGGCCUUCUUCGGUGGGGGAGCCAAUUUGAUGAUCUCUUCCUCAGAGGGCUGCCGGAUAAUGUCUGGGGGCAAAAAGGUGAGAAGUAGAGAACAUUCAAGGCCUUCCUUCCACUAAGAUAGGAACUGUGGCUAAGACAGAAGAAAGAAGGUCAGAUGUUUGAAUGGACUUUCUGGAUUUGAUAAAAUGUGACACUAGUGUUUUAAAGAGGAACAAUCUGAAACCAUGGGGCUGGGAAAAGCUGCCAGAAAAUCAGGAUGGAUUUGGGGACAGUGGCCCUUUCUGUCCACUCAGCUGUCCUGUCGGACUGAUGACUUGGAGCCCGCAGUUCAGAAGACUCCUCAUGGGAUGCCCCACCCCACAGAGUGGGGGUGUGGUGGGCGGCCGGAUGCGUA
rnacentral:lncRNA from 1 species